CUUCGUUAGCAACGAGUGUUGGUGGACGUGUUUCGGCGCAUAAUAUUAACUACUUUGCUUUUUGGCGCAACGGCACAUGUGUAUGUGCUUUGUAAAAUCACCAUUUUGAUUUAAGUGGAUAAGAAAAAACCUAAAAACUAUAGCCUUUUUCAAGGCUGACGCUUUUAAGUACAGACGGUGCUUCGCUUUUGGCGUCACAGCGUACUUUUGUGGACAAAUCUGUGAAAAAUUUUUAAUUCACCGGAAUUGUGUGGGAGCACCCAAGGUUCAGCUCCACAGGUGUCAAUACCGUCCACCUCACUCAAAACCCUCCCCAUCCCUAACACAACCCAACUGUUACACCAACAAACCCUGCUUUCGAAAUUCCAUCAUACUUAUAUAUACCGAACAUACAAACGCAACGUCAACAUCAUCAAGUCUACUCCCACAUAACCAUCGUUAUCAUCUACUACGUUUGAUUACCUGCCAUUCAACCGCAUAAACCAACUCACACUUUCGUCUUCACUGUGGAACCAUCAUUAUUCAAACGAUAACACAUUCAAUUGCAGAAAUCUGCUACCGUUUUAAAGGACACAUCUCCGACCAAAUCGCAGUAUACACACAUUGUGCUUAGAUGCACUCUCGUGUAACAUUGCUACAGAUCUAUUAAAGCAGAGGGAUAACCUGGCGUUGGGGAAACCUGCCAACCUAAUCAAAUCUCAAAAAAAAAAAAA